UGUUGAGUUUGCGCCAGUUUUUACUUUCCUUAAAGUAAUUUUUAGGUCUCCUGUAAAGGGUUGUUAUAAAUUUUUGGUUUACCUUUUGUAUAAGGGUUUCUAGAAUGUGGAAAAUUUUCUUUUUUAGAAUUAAGGGGAUCUUGGAUGGUUAUUUUAAACUUAAUAUUAUUUUUAAUUCUUUCUAAGGAGUGAUACGCUUACGUCCCUUAAUCUAUCUAGUUUUUAUGCUUUUAAAGAAGGGUAAUCCUUCUCUUUUGGUGUGUUAUUUAGAAUGUUUGUGUUGCCUUAAUAGUAGGUUUUUGUGUAAUAACGAAUACUGUUUUACUCAUCUUAUAUUUUUUGCUAUAAAUUAAAAUUAAUUAGUUUAUGAGUAGAGUGUUAGUUUAAUUUUUUGUUUUAUUUUUAUUUUCUUUUGUGAAAUCUUUGUUUCUUACUCUUUACCUUUCGAUUUGUUUAUUAAAAUCUUAGCUAAGAUUUUCUUAGUUUCUUCUGCCCUAUGGGAUUUCUUAAUGGCUGUGGUUUCCACACUAAGGUAGCGAAAUCAUUAGUUACUUAAUUAGUAACUUGUAUGAAAGGAGGGAUCGGCAGGCUAUUCUUAAGUGGGUUUGAAAUUAUACUGUCGUUGAAAAUAACGACUUAUACUCUAAGACAAAAAGACCCUAGAAUUUUUAUAAGUUUUCUUAUUUGGUUGGGGCAACAAUAAAAUUUUAAUAUUUUUAUUUUUAUUUUUCUUUGAACUCUUUUUAAGGAGAGAUUGGAAAAUACUCUAGGGAUAACAGCUUUAUGACCUUUUUGAGUUCUUAUUAAUAAGGUUGCUUGGGACCUCGAUGUUGGAUUAAGGGUGCUUCAGAGGCGUAGAGGCUCUGGUAGUUAGACUGUUCGUCUAUUAAAUCCUUACAUGAUCUGAGUUAAAGUCGGCGUGAGCCAGACUGGAUUUUAUCUAGAGUUUUAAACUACUUCUGUGGAUCAGUACGAAAGGACCUUUCACAGGUUAUUUUUAAUUUUUAAUAAAUUUUU
rnacentral:rRNA from 1 species